rnacentral:rRNA from 1 species
AAUAUUGCGCAAUGGAGGAAACUCUGACGCAGCGACGCCGCGUGCGCGCUGAAGGUCUUCGGAUCGUAAAGCUCUGUCCCUGGGGGAGAAGAUCGAACGAUUGGACGGUACCCGAGGGGGAAAGCCCGGCUAACUACGGGCCAGCAGCCGCGGUAAUACGUAGGGGGCAAGCGUUGUCCGGAAUUAUUGGGCGUAAAGGGUGCGUAGGCGGCUUUUUAAGUCAGAUGUGAAAGACCACGGCUUAACCGUGGGGUUGCAUUUGAAACUGGAGGGCUUGAGUGUCGGAGAGGGCAGUGGAAUUCCCAGUGUAGCGGUGGAAUGCGUAGAUAUUGGGAGGAACACCAGUGGCGAAGGCGACUGCCUGGACGAUAACUGACGCUGAGGCACGAAAGCUAGGGGAGCAAACA